AACAAGAUGGCCUCCAGAGGUCCCUUUCAACCCCAACCAUCCCGUGAUUCUGUGAUCUUCUUAUUUCCAAUGUGAGUGUUGGAUCUCUCCCAGCUGAGCGACCACAGGUGUCAGUGCUGAUGACAGGAGACAAGACUUUCAGCAGGUCCUAUCAUUCAAGACAGAGCCAGCUCAAGGCUUCUCCACCAUGAAGAUAUAUGAAAUUUGCAACCCAGAAGCAGCUGUGGGAGGGAGGGAGCUGGGCUGAAAAGUGGGGCUGGAGGAACCCUGCCCCCCUGGGGCAGUGCUGUGUGGCAGGGACCAUGCCUGCUGCUUGAAGGGAUCAGUCUCUCUAUCCUGGUGUCACCACCGUGCUUCAAUCCCAGGGAGAUGCACAGCUGUGGCUGACAUGCACAAUGUGUGAAUGAGCAAAGGCCACUCUCUUCCCUGCUCCUUCUGCUUGCAACACUUAAAUCAGAGAAGCAAUAACAAGCCUCUGUCUCUUAAGAUAAAAGGGAUAUCAGCUUUCACCGGGCUUUUCUCCAGUUGUCAGAAAUCAGGUCAAGGGGCUGGGUUAAACAAUCACUGCCUGGCCUUUCCUUCAAGAAAUGCAUGUUCUCACACAUUCAUCAACUAUGAGACUGGAUAUAAAUACAAACCAAGGGAUAAUUCUAAUGGUUAGUGAGAUUUUUAAUUAACAUCUGGAAAGUAUUUUGAACAAUUUCUCAUGAAAGAUAUGCAACCUAGAGCAGAGAGUGUAGCAGAAAAGCUGAAUUUUAUUCCCCUUCUCUGUCUUGAAUGAGACAUUUUUGUCUCUUGAAACAAGUGGAUGAGAAAACGAAUCCUUAGGCAAUAGAUUUCCACUCAUCGCCAACAGAACAUGUUCAUCUACUAUUAGAUGUACAAAGUACCUGUAUUUUGUUUAUUGGCCCCUUGCAGAAACUGGUCGUGCAUGUCUGGAGUAAAUCACUUGUAAAUCAAACAUAACAAACUAAGAAAGCAAUCUAUAGGGUUUCUUAAAAUAAUCUCUGUUGUAUAUGUGCAAAUAUAUAAACUUUGCAGCUCUUGCAGGGGUGUAGCUGAGGACAGAAUGUUACCCUUUGAGUUUGGGUGGUUUUGUGAAACACAUUUUAAAAAGCCCACAAUAUGCCUCCUAGAGUCAUAAGUCAGCGGUUGGGUGACUGGUUUGAAUUAAGACAACGAACAAAGACAAACGAAACAUAAUCCUGCACGUCUGUACAUUCUGGAGGCUUUCCUCUUCAUUUGGUGUCAGUACUGAACCAAAAGUAUUUAGAGAGGCAAUAUUAUUGAACACAACAAAUAGGAAGCAAAGCAUAAUUUUUGUUAGGGGUAAGUCAUCCCUUAGGCAGAAGCAUUCCAUCGGUCUUACUGCAUUUCACUGCACUGAAUUAUGGUUAAUUUGUGGUCGGAAAAAAUAGAGGCACUGUGGUUACUGCAAAUUAUAUACUGUGUUUCCAGUUUAAAGGGAAACAAAAGGCAUGUGUUGUAAAUAUAAACUUUUUUCUCCAAUUUUAAAAACAAAAAUCCAUUUGGAUGCUUAGUUCAGGCUCUAUUCAGCGUCUAUAGUAACUAUGCUCUUUCAAUGCUCAUUUAGGAAGUAUUUCUCUAGUGGGAAAAUAAAAAUCAGUAUGGUUGAAUAAUUGGCA
ensembl:lncRNA